GGCGCAGGGGCAGGCCCGGGCGGGGGGCCCCGGAGCCGGCGCGGCCUCGGCCCCGUCGGGGAGGCCGGGGGUCGGCCAGGGCGGGGCGAUGCCGGGCGGCGGCGGCGGCGGCCCCUACCGGGGCCCGUGACCAUGGGCAUCGCCGAGUCCACGCCGGACGAGCUGCCGUCGGACGCGGAGGAGCAGCUGCGCAGCGGCGAGCAGCAGCUGGAGCUGAGCGGGAGGCGGCUGCGGCGGCUGCCCAGCGCCGUGUGCGCGCUGAGCCGCCUGCAGAAGCUGUACGUGAGCGGCACGGGGCUGCGCGAGCUGCCCGAGGAGAUCGAGGAGCUGCGCGAGCUGCGCAUCCUGGCGCUCGACUUCAACAAACUCGAGCGCCUGCCCGACGGCCUGUGUCGCCUGCCGCGCCUCACGCGCCUCUACCUGGGCGGCAACAGGCUGCUGGCGCUGCCCGCCGACUUCGCGCAGCUGCAGAGCCUGCGCUGCCUCUGGAUCGAGGGCAACUUCCUGCGGCGCUUCCCGCGGCCGCUGCUGCGCCUGGUGGCGCUACAGUCGCUGCAGAUGGGCGAUAACCGGCUGCGCGCGCUGCCCGCCGAGCUGCCGCGCAUGACGGGCCUGCGUGGCCUCUGGCUCUACGGGAACCGCUUCGAGGAGUUCCCGCCCGCGCUGCUGCGCAUGGGCCGCCUGCACAUCCUCGACCUGGACCGCAACCGCCUGGGCGGCUUCCCCGACCUGCACCCGCUGCGCGCCCUGCGCGUCUUCUCCUACGACCACAACCCGGUGACCGGGCCCCCGCGCGUCGCUGACACCGUCUUCCUCGUGGGCGAGGGCGCCGUCGAGCGCAUGGCCGAGCGCGACGAGCCCACGCCCCGGCCGCCGCCCCGGCGCCCAGCGCGAGCCUUUGAGGAUGAGGAGGAAGAAGACUUGCUCAUAGGGGGCGGGGGCUCCCGGGCUCUGGGGUCCCCCAGAGGCAGCCUCCGUGCCCUGGAAGCCGCUCCAGGACUGGGCACCUGAGCCUAAGCUCUGGGUGAUGGACUUUGGCCACUUUGGGAGGAGGGGCUCUGGGAGGGGCUGUGAGACCGGUGGACCCCGACUUGGGGCAGAGGAGUGACCACUUUGGGCCAGCUGCCGGUGACACAUAGGCCUGGGGGCCGUCUUCCCAGGUAGUAAGAAGACUGCCUCCUGGCUGAUCCCUGGGCAGUCAUCAGACCAAGAAGUCCCAGCUCCAUUCAGUCCCCUUUAGCCCUGUCUAGUCUCUGAUAGAGUCACUGACACUACAACAGAGGUACCAGCUUCCUCCUGGAACCAGAGUCCCCGCUGUCUGGCGUCACCACCUCGGCUGAGCCUGGAUGGCCGGGCUGCCCACCAACCUCCCUCCUCCUGGAGUUUGGAUCUCCUAGAGCCACCCUUUCUGGUGCAGGAGCCACUACCUCUGGGUGGACCAAUGUCUGUGGGAGGCAGCACUGCCCUUGGAGGAGGCCCUGGCCCAGGGCCAGGGGCUUGGAGCUGGGGCCGGUGCCCAGGACAGAAAUGCUGGUGCCUGGAAUCUUGCUGGGAGCACACUCUCCCUUCCCCACAGCCUGAGCCUUCCAGCUGUCAAGUUUGAAAAGAAGCCACUGUGCCUCUAGGGCCUGCUGCACCCAAGAGAGAGGCUGCUCUACACCUCUCCCACUGCCUGCACUCUCCAUUCCCUUAAAUGGGCACCGUCAGAGUGGCUGGCACGGCGCGGGGCACGGACGAGCAUGGUGUGCCUCCACUCCGUCACCAGGGACAGCCUCAAGGGGGUGAGGAGUGGGGCCUCGCUCUGCAAUUCCCAGGGCCAGAUCUUUCCCAUCCAAGCAAUAAUGGGAGGAGGGAGCCAGGGCUGGGGACACUCAGGGACACUGUCAGGGGCAGGGACCCCACAUGGUAAUGUUUUCUUUAGGAAGAAAAAAAAAAAACUGGCUGUAAA